GGUGCUGAGAAUGACACAGGUGCCCCGAAUCGCAAAGCUGUGUGCUCUGAUGUGGGAUGAAUUGCCACCAGCUGGGGGAAGCUGGAGGAUUGCCUUUCCACGGCUUCUGGAUUCAGAAAUACUGAAUCCAUGUCAGAAGAAAACAUGUUCGAAGACUUUUCAGCCUCCCUCUGUCUGAUGGAACAACGUGUGACCGAGCACAGCUAGUGCCUUGUAGGAGCGAUGACGUGCUUGGGAACAAGUGACUUUCUGCAUCGUGUGCCACGGGCUGUUGACACAGGAUCACUGAUGUACCCUGCUGAUGGAUCCCAUGCUUUUCCCUGCAGACUGUGGCACAGCUCUGUGUUAUGUUCAGAUCUGCCAGUAAGAUUACCAGGAGGCAAGUUAAUGCAGCAGGAGGGGAGACCUCAGAUGGGCUGGUACAGCACAUCCCAAACUUGCCCUGCGAUGAAAGGCUGGGGACCUCUGGAUGUCAGCAUCUGGGGCCUGCCUGCAGGUGCUGGGAUGGUUUGGGACAGCUGUGCAGGUCCUCUGGCUGAGCCCCCAAUGGAGCAGAGAGCUCUGAAGCACACCCCUGAGAGCAGAGAGAUGCUGAGACUAUUUCUGUUCUGAUGGGACUUCUCUAGAAUUCCCUGUGGUUAUGGUUCUGCCUUAAUUAUCCCAAAUCUUGAUGCCAUAUGUUAAUUUCCGAGUGCUUUGCUCGAGAGAAGAGCCCAGCAUUUCCCUAUAGGUUCUCACUUCAUUAAUGUAUCAUCAGCCCAUAACAGAGCAUUCCCUGCUGUUAAAGCAGCCCCAAGACCAAGAUAAAACUUCUUGUGGACACUGGGAGGCCUGAGCCAAGACCCCGAGGAGCCCACAGCUGCCUUCCUGUUGAGAAAUCUGAGAUCGGAGAUGGCCAUCUCUCUGCAAACCCCUGUUUUUCCUUCACCUUUUCCUUUUUUUUCCUUUGUGUUUAAAAGAAUGAUAUAUCUAUUCCUUUGUAUAGAGGAAAAUUCCUGCACACCUAGCUUCUCCUGUGUGUGUGUGUGUGUGUGGUGCUUUCACAUGGCUCAUUUCAACCUGGCUUAUUUUGGUGUUUCCAGGUCAGAAGCAGGAGGACAUCACCGCCCCCGGUCCCUAUUAGCGAGGGCCUUGUUGGCCAUAACAGAGGAUGCCUAAGGCAUCCUUCCACCUCUCCCACGCCAACCUUCUCCUGCACAAUUCCUCUUUUCUUCCCCAAGUGAAAGAGCUGCCUGAGGGCUGUGGGGAUCACCUGGCUGUGGGCAUGAGCCCGGGGAUAUUUUGGGCAGGGGCAUGCGAGGGCUGGGUGCGUGCUGUUUGCCUGGGAGAUGUAUCGGGGCACUGUAGCUCCGCGAGGACCUUGCCAUGUUACACAGCAGCUUUGUGGCUGAGCAAAAAUAAAUGAGUGACUUAUCCCACUGCCAAGGACCGUCAGUGGGAGGUCAGUGUUUGAUAUUUCCACACCCAAAAAAGCAGCCCCAAGCUAGAAUUACAGUACAAAAUACCCAUUCAGACCUCUCCAGCCUUCUGUUUUCAUUGACUUCCAUCCCCUGCUUGUACACACAGAGUCCCUUCCUUUCCAAAAGAAAACAGUACCGCUGAUAAGGGACACUUAUCUCAGCAAGUCAUUACAGAACAAGCAAGCUUUUGUGUUUGCAUCUGAUUCCUGCUGCGAUGUUAACAAACUCCUCGUAUGGAAGCUUUAUUUUCCACUCUAAAGAUGGCCCUUAGGGUAAUAUGCGAGGUGCAUUAUAUA